AGUGAACGCUGGCGGUAGGCCUAACACAUGCAAGUCGAACGGCAGCACAGUAAGAGCUUGCUCUUACGGGUGGCGAGUGGCGGACGGGUGAGGAAUACAUCGGAAUCUACUUUUUCGUGGGGGAUAACGUAGGGAAACUUACGCUAAUACCGCAUACGACCUACGGGUGAAAGCAGGGGAUCUUCGGACCUUGCGCGAUUGAAUGCGCCGAUGUCGGAUUAGCUAGUUGGCGGGGUAAAGGCCCACCCAGGCGACGAUCCGUAGCCGGUCUGAGAGGAUGAUAGGCCACACUGGAGCGGAGACACGGUCCAGACUCCUACGGGAGGCAGCAGUGGGGAAUAUUGGACAAUGGGCGCAAGCCUGGUCCAGCCAUACCGCGUGGGUGAAGAAGGCCUUCGGGUUGUAAAGCCCUUUUGUUGGGAAAGAAAAGCAGCAGGUUAAUACCCCGCUGUUCUGACGGUACCCAAAGAAUAAGCACCGGCUAACUUCGUG
rnacentral:rRNA from 1 species